UAUCAUUUUAUUAUCAUUUACAGCAACCGAUGGUCCUUGCGGUGAAUAAAACCGUCUGUACCGUGCCGAUUUGUCUGGCUGACAAAGAGAGAGGGAGGAAUUGCCACAUGAAGGAGCGAAUCGGUCUGGAAGCCAAACGAACCUGGCGUCACAUUGAUACAUCAGAAAUCAUAUCAUCAGCGAGAGGCUCAUUUUGCAUACUAACAGGAGAGGAGAGGGAGUCACACUUGUUCGAGAGGACACUCGUGGAAAGCCCACACAGCUCUCGGGCGCAGGCACCUGGAGGAUGUGAAUAUGAUAAGUUGUCACCUCGUCAUGGAGAUUCUCCAUUCGGCCUGGAGAGUGAGACAGUAAUAAUUUUACAGACCUUCACAGUUUCAAAAUAACUUUUAAUAUUAGAGCGGGGAAAAAAGCUGUUGAAUUAUAAACGCCCGCCGCUGCGGUUCUUUGACACCACCAUCUGUCUUUUUGAUGGAGAUGAGGAAAGAGAGAGAGAGGUACAGAGGUCAGCCCGUAACAUGGAGACGGCGAAAAAACCACAGCAGCUGCCGUAACGCCGAGACCGGAGAGUAUUUUCAUAUGCACUUCUCAUUGGGAAGCAAAUCAAACUGUGUGGUCGAUCUGAGGUGAAGGAAAGUCACUUAAAUUCUUAAACACAACAUGGGGCCUGACUGACUGCAUGUCACCUCUUUUUUCACACUGCAGAAACGGAAAACAUGUGAGAAGGAAUGGACGCCUCUGCAAUUGCUCCGACUUGGAUGCUGGCCUUCAUUUGUGUAGGAAAUGCCUGGUGUAAUGAUGCAAGUACACUUUCAUGAGAUGUAUUUACAAAACGAGCACCCCAAAAUGUUGUCAUUACCAGUGGGAACCUCUGGAUCGCUUUAAAGCCACUUUCUGAGGUUCAGAGUCAAUUAAAGAAUCAUGGUGAAAGCAAAUGGUUUCAGCAAUUGCUAAAACAGAAUAGUUCAUCCAGAAAUGAAAAUUCUGUCAGCA
ensembl:lncRNA